UUAUUCCGUGAUUGUAAUUUCUAGAGUUAGAUUCUAGGGCACACCUGACCUUAGGCUCUGCUGGGUUGCUUAUCCUGAAGCAGUGUGAGUCCCUCCCAAGGUGAAGAAAUAUAAUUAGAAGAAAAAGAGAUCAUUCAGUGAGGAGCCUAAGCUUAGGCGAGAACAGAUUGAACAAGGUGGCCUCCAUUAUGUCACUUGCUAAAUAAUUUGGCCCAGAGAGUCAAAGAAGAACCCAUUGACCUCCAAAAUGAAACUGAUAGUGAAAAGGGACUUCACAUAGCCUGGCAGUUUAAGAUGCCUUGGAACUGGAAAAAAUAAAGUUUGCUCAAAGACAUGAGGACAGCAUACCAUAGACAGGGGCUACUUAUUCUGCUGAAAUAUGGAAUGAGAACAUGUGAAUAAACAUGGAGCUAACAUGCUGACCUAAAAGAAAAUGUUACACCCUAAACCGUAUCAAUGGAUUCUAACAUUUUUCUGCUAAGAUCAGAGAAGUCUACCCCUAAAAGGUAUAUGUUGCACUACUUUGAUUUCAACAGUUUGCAAAUAUGUGUCCUCCCA